rnacentral:rRNA from 1 species
GCAUAUCAAUAAGCGGAGGAAAAGAAACCAACCGGGAUUGCCUUAGUAACGGCGAGUGAAGCGGCAAAAGCUCAAAUUUGAAAUCUGGUACCUUCGGUGCCCGAGUUGUAAUUUGGAGAGGGCAACUUUGGGGCCGUUCCUUGUCUAUGUUCCUUGGAACAGGACGUCAUAGAGGGUGAGAAUCCCGUGUGGCGAGGGGUGCGGUUCUUUGUAAAGUGCCUUCGAAGAGUCGAGUUGUUUGGGAAUGCAGCUCUAAGUGGGUGGUAAAUUCCAUCUAAAGCUAAAUAUUGGCGAGAGACCGAUAGCGAACAAGUACAGUGAUGGAAAGAUGAAAAGAACUUUGAAAAGAGAGUGAAAAAGUACGUGAAAUUGUUGAAAGGGAAGGGCAUUUGAUCAGACAUGGUGUUUUGUGCCCUCUGCUCCUUGUGGGUAGGGGAAUCUCGCAUUUCACUGGGCCAGCAUCAGUUUUGGUGGCAGGAUAAAUCCAUAGGAAUGUAGCUUGCCUCGGUAAGUAUUAUAGCCUGUGGGAAUACUGCCAGCUGGGACUGAGGACUGCGACGUAAGUCAAGGAUGCUGGCAUAAUGGUUAUAUGCCGCCCGUCUUGAAACACGGACC